GUUCUUAGAUCUUAUGGAAGCCAAUUAGUGUUUCUUGCUGUGAUUUGUUUUCUGAUUUUCAACUCCAGUCCUCAACUACAUACAACAGGUCAUGUUUCCUGGAUUUCUUUAGUCGUGCAAAGAAGUGGGCUCAUGCCCCGUUUCCUGGCUCGCGCAUUCCAAUUUCUGGCCCUGCAGUGCGCUCGUGUUUCAGCCGAAACGUCUGCCCCGGUCCCCCCACAGAAUAGAAAAUUGAAAAAGAGAUGAGUCCACACACACCUAUCCUCAAAUCGCUACAAAUUCGUGCCCCAGGUUUUUCAACUAAGGACACUGACGCUGGCACUGCAUACUAACCUGCAACACUAACACUAACCUGCAACACUAACACUAACCUGCAACACUAACCUGGGUAAAAAGAGACUCCUAGCUCCCUCAGCAGGAUCUAGGAGAGCAUGGCCGAACAGAGAUCACUUGUGCCAAGGCAGUCUUUUAUUAUAUAGACAGAAUGAUGCCCAGGCAGCAACAACAUGCCCACCUACCUGAGCAUGAGGAGUGCCUCUGGACCAUGCCAACCAAGGUGCCCCCCAGACCAGGAGAAAUGCUGGCCCUCAGAGAAGUCAUUUUCUGCAUCCAUUUGUGUAAUGCCGUCCACAUGGAGAACACUGGGAACUCCCCUCUGAGAAAUAUGUUUUAUUUUAAAGCAUUGCGUGUUUAAAUAAUAUCUGUAGUAAAGUUAAUAUUUUCCAAA